rnacentral:rRNA from 1 species
GGGGACGUUUGUCCGGACUAUUGCGGCGUAAGGGCUCGCAAGCGGUUUCUUAAGUCUGAUGUGAUAGCCCCCGGCUCAACCGGGGAGGGUCAUUGGAAACUGGGGAACUUGAGUGCAGAAGAGGAGAAUGGAAUUCCACGUGUAGCGGUGAAAUGCGUAGAGAUGUGGAGGAACACCAGUGGCGAAGGCGACUCUCUGGUCUGUAACUGACGCUGAGGAGCGAAAGCGUGGGGAGCGAACAGGAUUAGAUACCCUGGUAGUCCACGCCGUAAACGAUGAGUGCUAAGUGUUAGGGGGUUUCCGCCCCUUAGUGCUGCAGCUAACGCAUUAAGCACUCCGCCUGGGGAGUACGGUCGCAAGACUGAAACUCAAAGGAAUUGACGGGGGCCCGCACAAGCGGUGGAGCAUGUGGUUUAAUUCGAAGCAACGCGAAGAACCUUACCAGGUCUUGACAUCCUCUGACAAUCCUAGAGAUAGGACGUCCCCUUCGGGGGCAGAGUGACAGGUGGUGCAUGGUUGUCGUCAGCUCGUGUCGUGAGAUGUUGGGUUAAGUCCCGCAACGAGCGCAACCCUUGAUCUUAGUUGCCAGCAUUCAGUUGGGCACUCUAAGGUGACUGCCGGUGACAAACCGGAGGAAGGUGGGGAUGACGUCAAAUCAUCAUGCCCCUUAUGACCUGGGCUACACACGUGCUACAAUGGACAGAACAAAGGGCAGCGAAACCGCGAGGUUAAGCCAAUCCCACAAAUCUGUUCUCAGUUCGGAUCGCAGUCUGCAACUCGACUGCGUGAAGCUGGAAUCGCUAGUAAUCGCGGAUCAGCAUGCCGCGGGUGAAUACGUUCCCCGGGCCUUGUACACACCGCCCGUCACACCACGAAGAGUUUGUAACACCCGAAGUCGGUGAGGUAACCUUUUAGGAGCCAGCCGCCGAAGGUGGGACAGAUGAUUGGGGUGAUCUAAGAGGGGGGGCCCCCAAGAUAUAAAGGGGGG